ACGGGGCCCGCACAAGCGGUGGAGCAUGUGGUUUAAUUCGAUGCAACGCGAAGAACCUUACCUGGGCUUGACAUCCCGGGAAUCCCCUGGAAACAGGGGAGUGCCCUUCGGGGAACCCGGUGACAGGUGCUGCAUGGCUGUCGUCAGCUCGUGUCGUGAGAUGUUGGGUUAAGUCCCGCAACGAGCGCAACCCUUGUCUUUAAUUGCCAUCAUUUAGUUGGGCACUUUAAAGAGACUGCCGGUGUUAAGCCGGAGGAAGGUGGGGAUGACGUCAAGUCCUCAUGGCCUUUAUGCCCAGGGCUACACACGUGCUACAAUGGGCGGUACAAAGGGUAGCGAUGCCGCGAGGUGAAGCCAAUCCCAAAAAGCCGUCCACAGCUCGGAUUGGAGUCUGCAACUCGACUCCAUGAAGCCGGAAUCGCUAGUAAUCGUGGAUCAGCAUGCCACGGUGAAUACGUUCCCGGGCCUU
rnacentral:rRNA from 1 species